AGCAGUCACCCUAGCUCACAUUUCUUGCAAUUAUUUUGUAUUUUGAACUAUUGGACAUAUUAUAUCAAAUUGUAGGUAAUGUUCUAUAAAAAUUAAACUAUUGAUUAUAUAAUGUCGAGAAUUUCAAUCGGCUCGUUUAGAACUCGAGCUCGGCUCGACUCGAAAUUAGGCUCGCUCGAGCUCAGCUCGAAUUAAUUUCAAGCCGAGCUUGAGCCUAGAUUUAGGCUCGAAAUUAAUUUCAAGCCGAAUUUGAGCUGACAUAAGCUCGCUCGAGCUC
rnacentral:lncRNA from 1 species